rnacentral:rRNA from 1 species
AUGCAGUCGAGCGAACAGAUGAGAAGCUUGCUUCUCUGAUGUUAGCGGCGGACGGGUGAGUAACACGUGGGUAACCUACCUAUAAGACUGGGAUAACUCCGGGAAACCGGGGCUAAUACCGGAUAAUAUUUUGAACCGCAUGGUUCAAUAGUGAAAGACGGUUUCGGCUGUCACUUAUAGAUGGACCCGCGCCGUAUUAGCUAGUUGGUAAGGUAAUGGCUUACCAAGGCGACGAUACGUAGCCGACCUGAGAGGGUGAUCGGCCACACUGGAACUGAGACACGGUCCAGACUCCUACGGGAGGCAGCAGUAGGGAAUCUUCCGCAAUGGGCGAAAGCCUGACGGAGCAACGCCGCGUGAGUGAUGAAGGUCUUCGGAUCGUAAAACUCUGUUGUUAGGGAAGAACAAAUUUGUUAGUAACUGAACAAGUCUUGACGGUACCUAACCAGAAAGCCACGGCUAACUACGUGCCAGCAGCCGCGGUAAUACGUAGGUGGCAAGCGUUAUCCGGAAUUAUUGGGCGUAAAGCGCGCGUAGGCGGUUUCUUAAGUCUGAUGUGAAAGCCCACGGCUCAACCGUGGAGGGUCAUUGGAAACUGGGAAACUUGAGUGCAGAAGAGGAGAGUGGAAUUCCAUGUGUAGCGGUGAAAUGCGCAGAGAUAUGGAGGAACACCAGUGGCGAAGGCGGCUCUCUGGUCUGUAACUGACGCUGAUGUGCGAAAGCGUGGGGAUCAAACAGGAUUAGAUACCCUGGUAGUCCACGCCGUAAACGAUGAGUGCUAAGUGUUAGGGGGUUUCCGCCCCUUAGUGCUGCAGCUAACGCAUUAAGCACUCCGCCUGGGGAGUACGACCGCAAGGUUGAAACUCAAAGGAAUUGACGGGGACCCGCACAAGCGGUGGAGCAUGUGGUUUAAUUCGAAGCAACGCGAAGAACCUUACCAAAUCUUGACAUCCUUUGACCGCUCUAGAGAUAGAGUCUUCCCCUUCGGGGGACAAAGUGACAGGUGGUGCAUGGUUGUCGUCAGCUCGUGUCGUGAGAUGUUGGGUUAAGUCCCGCAACGAGCGCAACCCUUAAGCUUAGUUGCCAUCAUUAAGUUGGGCACUCUAGGUUGACUGCCGGUGACAAACCGGAGGAAGGUGGGGAUGACGUCAAAUCAUCAUGCCCCUUAUGAUUUGGGCUACACACGUGCUACAAUGGAUAAUACAAAGGGCAGCGAAUCCGCGAGGCCAAGCAAAUCCCAUAAAAUUAUUCUCAGUUCGGAUUGUAGUCUGCAACUCGACUACAUGAAGCUGGAAUCGCUAGUAAUCGUAGAUCAGCAUGCUACGGUGAAUACGUUCCCGGGUCUUGUACACACCGCCCGUCACACCACGAGAGUUUGUAACACCCGAAGCCGGUGGAGUAACC